UGUGAGGGUCCAUGUGAGGGUCCAUGUUACGUGUCAAUGCCUGAGCUGCGGGGACCAGAUAUUCGGCUGAACAGAAGUCUCGGCGCAUCUGGGAGGCUGUCGCUGGAUCAGAACUGGGCCUCUGAAAACAGUCAUCACAGGAGGGGACAAGGGCACAGCAAGUCACAGUAAGGUGACAGAAGGCCUCGGGGAAGGAAGACUUGCGUCCUGCCCUUGACUCCCAGCCGCCCCUCCCUGCACUUCCCGGAACAUCAGGCGCCCGACACACUUGCUGAAAAAAUGUUUGCUUAAUAGUGUUGUGUUUUUAGGGUUCCUCUGGUGUGGAAAUAGCUCUCGGUUAUGAAAAUGGCUGAAGCAAACAUCCCACGUUGCUCCAGUGUGAACUUGGUCUCUCCUCUGCAGACAAGCCUUGGAGUGUUUGCACAUGAACUUUUAUGAAGCUGCAAAUAUCUCUUACCUUCCCCACACGUGAGAACAAAUGAUAAACGUGAAAGGUGAUAUUUUAAAAACUCUUGUAUUCAAUUAUUCACACCGAAGGAUAGCCAUUAAAAUUAUGAACAUCUCUACAUAUAUUUCAUGUAUCAUACAUAUAUAUAUACUUUAAAUGUAUAAUUACAUAUCAACAAAGGUUUCUUGCUGCUCUAAGCAUGUAAGUAAAACAAAGAUUUUGCAAAGUAACACCCAUAUAUGCAUAUAUACUGGCUGUUUGAAUUAUGAAUUUAUUUACAACUUGCCUAGGUUAUAAUCAGUGAUUAUUGUUAUAUUAUACAAACAUGACAGUAAAGGUUUCUUUUAAAUACAAAGACUGCAAAUGAAUACAUGAAAAAAUUACACACAUGUACAAUAUUUAUAAUUUAUAAAUGCAAAAUUAAGACCUCUUUAAAUUAUUGCACUUGUGCAUUUUACAAAGUUUUUAUAUGUCAUACAUAUAAAAUAUUUUUAAAUUUAUAACUUAUUAACUGUAAUGAAGUUGGACAUUGUUAACUCAAAAUUCCUUCUCCUUCCAAAAGUGAGCCCAUUAAAACUUUGGAUACAGAUCCAUUGACUCUACGAAUCAGCUUAUCAUGAGUGUUGUAUUUUUGACAGCUUGUAACCUGUAUUCCACUCCAGCAGCUUCUGGUCAGCAAGGAGAUUAUCACCAGCAAACUCUUAGUUGCCUUGGCUAGGCAGGGAUAGAGGAUCUCCUUUGUUCAUAAGGACUUGUAAAAAAAAAAAAAAGUCACCCCUUCUUUUCAGAAAGAGUCAAGAUGCUGCAUUUCUACAAAUUUUGGUAACUGUUUCACAGUGUUCUGGGCACGCACACUUUUUCCAGUGGGUCACUGGGUGGGUUCUGGUGAACAGGUGGGGGGUGUGGUAUAGAAACACCUUCUACAACGACAUCUACUCUCAGUGUGCACACUAAGUGAAU